rnacentral:rRNA from 1 species
AAGCUUGCUUGUUGGGGUUGUAGGACACUCUAUACGGAGUUACAAAGGACGACAUUAGACGAAUCAUCUGGAAAGAUGAAUCAAAGAAGGUAAUAAUCCUGUAGUCGAAAAUGUUGUCUCUCUUGAGUGGAUCCUGAGUACGACGGAGCACGUGAAAUUCCGUCGGAAUCUGGGAGGACCAUCUCCUAAGGCUAAAUACUCUCUAGUGACCGAUAGUGAACCAGUACCGUGAGGGAAAGGUGAAAAGCACCCCGGAAGGGGAGUGAAAUAGAACCUGAAACCGUGUGCUUACAAGUAGUCAGAGCCCGUUAAUGGGUGAUGGCGUGCCUUUUGUAGAAUGAACCGGCGAGUUACGAUUUGAUGCAAGGUUAAGCAGUAAAUGUGGAGCCGUAGCGAAAGCGAGUCUGAAUAGGGCGUUUAGUAUUUGGUCGUAGACCCGAAACCAGGUGAUCUACCCUUGGUCAGGUUGAAGUUCAGGUAACACUGAAUGGAGGACCGAACCGACUUACGUUGAAAAGUGAGCGGAUGAACUGAGGGUAGCGGAGAAAUUCCAAUCGAACCUGGAGAUAGCUGGUUCUCUCCGAAAUAGCUUUAGGGCUAGCCUCAAGUGAUGAUUAUUGGAGGUAGAGCACUGUUUGGACGAGGGGCCCCUCUCGGGUUACCGAAUUCAGACAAACUCCGAAUGCCAAUUAAUUUAACUUGGGAGUCAGAACAUGGGUGAUAAGGUCCGUGUUCGAAAGGGAAACAGCCCAGACCACCAGCUAAGGUCCCAAAAUAUAUGUUAAGUGGAAAAGGAUGUGGCGUUGCCCAGACAACUAGGAUGUUGGCUUAGAAGCAGCCAUCAUUUAAAGAGUGCGUAAUAGCUCACUAGUCGAGUGACACUGCGCCGAAAAUGUACCGGGGCUAAACAUAUUACCGAAGCUGUGGAUUGUCCUUUGGACAAUGGUAGGAGAGCGUUCUAAGGGCGUUGAAGCAUGAUCGUAAGGACAUGUGGAGCGCUUAGAAGUGAGAAUGCCGGUGUGAGUAGCGAAAGACGGGUGAGAAUCCCGUCCACCGAUUGACUAAGGUUUCCAGAGGAAGGCUCGUCCGCUCUGGGUUAGUCGGGUCCUAAGCUGAGGCCGACAGGCGUAGGCGAUGGAUAACAGGUUGAUAUUCCUGUACCACCUAUAAUCGUUUUAAUCGAUGGGGGGACGCAGUAGGAUAGGCGAAGCGUGCGAUUGGAUUGCACGUCUAAGCAGUAAGGCUGAGUAUUAGGCAAAUCCGGUACUCGUUAAGGCUGAGCUGUGAUGGGGAGAAGACAUUGUGUCUUCGAGUCGUUGAUUUCACACUGCCGAGAAAAGCCUCUAGAUAGAAAAUAGGUGCCCGUACCGCAAACCGACACAGGUAGUCAAGAUGAGAAUUCUAAGGUGAGCGAGCGAACUCUCGUUAAGGAACUCGGCA